CUGGUUAUUUGUCUCUCCUAUCCCUGCUGCUACUGCAGGUGCCCGGAAUUCAUGGAAUCUCUGGUAGAGGGGAGUCGAGAAAAAUGCAGUAGGAGCUUAUUUUGCCUUUCAUGGCUUUAAUUUGAGCUUCAGAUCCUGAAUCUCCAUAAAUGGGUAUGGGUAUGACUGGUUAAGGUGACCAGCUUUGUGCGGCAACCGCAAGUGUUGGUACUCUGGAACGUUAUAGCUAAGGAGCGGAUUUCAAGGUCCCUUGACUUGCCAAACGAUUUCCAGUAUGCCUAUACAGUUAGUC
rnacentral:misc_RNA from 1 species